rnacentral:rRNA from 1 species
GACGAACGCUGGCGGCGUGCUUAACACAUGCAAGUCGAACGGGAUAAUUUGAGAGCUUGCUCUUAGAGAAUCUAGUGGCAAACGGGUGAGUAACACGUAGACAACCUGCCGACAGGAUGGGGACAACAUUCCGAAAGGAAUGCUAAUACCGAAUGAAGCGGAGGAGAGGCAUCUCUCCUCCGUGAAAGAUGGCCUCUGAAUAUGCUAUCACCUGUCGAUGGGUCUGCGUCUGAUUAGCUAGUUGGUGAGGUAACGGCUCACCAAGGCGACGAUCAGUAGCCGGGCUGAGAGGAUGAACGGCCACAUUGGGACUGAGACACGGCCCAGACUCCUACGGGAGGCAGCAGUGGGGAAUCUUCCGCAAUGGGCGCAAGCCUGACGGAGCAACGCCGCGUGAGUGAAGAAGGGCUUCGGAUCGUAAAGCUCUGUUGACGGGGACGAACGUGCGAAGGGUGAAUAAGCCUUUGUAAUGACGGUACCUGUCGAGGAAGCCACGGCUAACUACGUG